rnacentral:rRNA from 1 species
AUUGAACGCUAGCGGGAUGCUUACACAUGCAAGUCGAACGAGUGGCGGACGGGUGAGUAAUAUAUCGGAACGUGCCCAGUAGCGGGGGAUAACUACUCGAAAGCGUGCUAUACCGCAUACUAUUGUAUCGGCCGAUAUCGGAUUAGCUAGUUGGUGGGGUAAAGGCUCACCAAGGCAACGAUCCGUAGCUGGUUUGAGAGGACGACGAGCCACACUGGGACUGAGAAACGGCCCAGACGCCUAAGCGAGGCAGCAGUGGGGAAUUUUGGACAAGGGGGGAAACCCUGAUCCAGCCAUCCCGGGUGGAUGAAGAAGGCCUCGGGUUGUAAAGCACUUUCAGCGAGGAGGCGUUACUCGCAGAAGAAGCACCGGCUAACUCCGUGCCAGCCGCCGCGGUAAUUC